UACUAGAAUCUGUAUCAUGUUCAGAGAAUCACAAGAAACCCAAAAAGAAUUCUGACUUUGCCACGUCAUUGUUUUUUGAAAGAAUUCUGAAUGACAUCAUUUUAUAAGUGAAGCAUGACAGUUGUGUGAAGUACAACCUCUCAUUUGACUGCUUUUCACAAAUACUGAGUAUAAAUGACCCCAGAAAACAUCUGAGGCAUUCAGCAGCUAAAUCCAUGCCAGAAACCAGCUAUGAGCCAGCUGAUGACGACAUAACCACAGCGUUUCACAUACACAAGCCGUCUCCUUUAGCCACUUUUAUCAGUCAUUGCUCUAUUUUAAGAUCUAUCUGUUCUGAGAUCACGAGGGUCAAAUGUCAGAGUUAUCUGAAUGCCACAUCAACAAGAAGAGUUAAGCACUGAAUGAUUAGAAAAGAUGACAAUAACAGUCCGGUUUCUCAGUCCGACCUCUGUCCGUCUGGCCACUUUUCUUUACAGCUCUCUAUAGAUCAGUCUUAGCAAGAAAAAAGAUGCCAUUGUUUUGGAGAGGGAAGGGCUCAUCCUUUCUGCCAGGAGAGGAAGCUGGGGCAGAGGCAGGAAGCUUACACCAGCAAUGACCUCAUCGUCCUGGGCUGUCUACGGUUACCAGCAACAACAGGAUUCCCGUAAGUAGUGGGCGACAGAAAACAAGUUGGAUAUUGUUUAGGUGCAUUUUAGGAUGAAGCAAUGAACAGCCCGAGGAGAGCUGAGGAUGAAGAAAAAAACGAAGGAAAGCUGACUUGAGGAAUGUGCUGUGUCAGAGGAACUGUGUUUGGACUUUACCAGGGCCCCCAGAGAGUCUCUGUCACUUUGUGCUCCCUGGACAAUAUAAUCGAGACAGCAGAAUGCUAGAUACGUGCCAUAAAACUAAAGGCCUACGCAGCAUUUGAACCUUUUUCUGCAAAAACCCUCAUUUAUUUUUUCAACUGAAGAAAGAAAGACAUGAACAUCUUGGAUGACAUGGGGAUCUUUAUGGAGUCUUUUUGUUUCACUGUUAUGCGGCCAAACUGGGAGCAUUUUAAGAGGGCAGUGUGAGUUCCUGUAAGCUGAUCUGUCACAGCUGGGCCGAGGAUGAUGUGCCGUGGGUGUGACGCCUCCAGGUUCAGUAACGCCCGAGAGGCACACCCAGUCCUCCUCACCUUCAGAGCAAACCUCCCACACACACGCAUGCACACACACGCACACACACACAAACAGAAAAAGCUGCUCUGACAGGGGCUUUCUGUAUAAUAAUGCAUCAGUCACACUCACAACAAAAUCUUUUGGUGAGCAAAUUAAACUAUGUACAUUUGUUGAUAAAACCUCUGUUUUGGACUUUCUGUAUUGAGUAUUUUGAUGCCUUUUGCAGCUAGUUUAUAACUUCUCAAAUUUCGCAAAUAGAAACAGACACAAAACAAGAGAGAAAAUGUAAUGUAAGGUCUUGAGGCUCUUUAAUAGUUAUUUCUAUUUCUAAAAUGCUUCAUCAAAAGUCUAUAAGAAGAGCUGUCAUCUGAAAUUCAGAGAUAAUUUUUUUAGGGUACAGCUAAUAUUUAAGCACCUUAAUAAAAUGUUUCGUGCCGCUGGCAAUCAGCCCCAAUAAAUAGCAACAAACUUGAGCAUAAAAUUAAAAAGAGGAAAAAUAUUUUGAGUAUUAAAUUAAUCUGAGCUAGCGUCUAAUUUGAGUGUGGGCAAGUGUUCAGUUUUCCUUAUGAAGAGUGUCUAAAGAGUGCCAAGUUUAAGAUCAUACUAAAUUGAUUUUGUCAUGUGUUCAAAGGGACUUGGCUGGUGAAGUCCAGAAUGUUCUCUUCACUUGAACAUUUUUUGCCCUUCAUGACAACUGUGAGGGGUGUAAUUUUUUACAGUCUAUGCUUUUUCCCAACAAAGUCAAAACAGGUGCCUAACCUUCAGAAACUGACCUGUCUUACUUUGAAUUUAUUAAAAACCUGAUUUAUAUAACUGUCCUUUCCUAUCAAUAUAUAUUUAUAUAAUAACAAUACAUUAUUAUAUUAAAUUAACAUAAUACAAUGUCCAAACUUUAAGAAUAAAUAAAUUUAAUCUAAGCCAGAAUGAGUAACAGGGUUACAAAAUUAAAAUACAUCUAUUUUAUACUAAUGACCGAACAGGAAAGAGAAUUUCCCAAAUGAAAAAAUAAAAUAAAAUAAAUUGGAAUGACAUUGACUUUUAUUUAUAAAUAUACAAAAUAUAUACUCUUAAACAAAGCAUCA